AGAGUUUGAUCAUGGCUCAGGAUGAACGCUGGCGGCGUGCCUAACACAUGCAAGUCGAGCGAUUACUUCGGUAAAGAGCGGCGGACGGGUGAGUAACGCGUGGGUAACCUGCCUCAUACACAUGGAUAACAUACCGAAAGGUAUGCUAAUACAGGAUAAUAUAAGAGAUUCACAUGGAUUUUUUAUCAAAGCUCCGGCGGUAUGAGAUGGACCCGCGUCUGAUUAGCUAGUUGGUAAGGUAAUGGCUUACCAAGGCGACGAUCAGUAGCCGACCUGAGAGGGUGAUCGGCCACAUUGGAACUGAGACACGGUCCAAACUCCUACGGGAGGCAGCAGUGGGGAAUAUUGCACAAUGGGCGAAAGCCUGAUUGCAGCAACGCCGCGUGAGUGAUGAAGGCCUUCGGGUCGUAAAACUCUGUCCUCAAGGAAGAUAAUGACGGUACUUGAGGAGGAAGCCCCGGCUAACUACGUGCCAGCCGCCGC
rnacentral:rRNA from 1 species